AAGAAAGAUUGUAAGAAAAAGAAGGAACUCGGCAAAUACCCAUCCCGCCUGUUUACCAAAAACAUCGCCUCUUGAGCAAAAUAAGAGGUCUAGCCUGCCCAGUGACACUAGUUCAACGGCCGCGGUAUCCUGACCGUGCGAAGGUAGCGUAAUCACUUGUUUUUUAAAUAAAGACUAGUAUGAAAGGCAUCACGAGGAUUGACCUGUCUCCUUUUUCCAAUCUAUGAAACUAAUCUUCCCGUGAAGAAGCGGGAAUUCCCUAAUAAGACGAGAAGACCCUAUGGAGCUUUAGACGUGCCACACUGCUGUCAGUUCCUAUCCCACCUUAGGAAACCUCCGCAGCAUCUUACCGCACAGUCUUAGGUUGGGGUGACCGCGGAGUAAAACUUACCCUCCACGCUGAAUGGAAGCUUCCCCUAAGCAAAGAGCCACAACUCUAUGCAUCAGCAAACUGACAGCAAUUGACCCAAUUACUUGAUCAACGGAACAAGUUACCCUAGGGAUAACAGCGCAAUCCCCCUUAAAAGCCCCUAUCGACAGGGGGGUUUACGACCUCGAUGUUGGAUCAGGGUAUCCCAGUGGUGCAGCCGCUACUAAAGGCUCGUUUGUUCAACGAUUAAAACCCUACGUGAUCUGAGU
rnacentral:rRNA from 1 species